GAGGCUGUUGCCAUGGUAACGGAGCAAGAGGUAGAGGCCAUAGGGAAGACCUUGGUGGACCCCAAGCAGCCCUUGCAGGCCCGCUUCCGUGCCCUGUUUACACUUCGGGGACUUGGUGGCCCUGAUGCUAUCUCCUGGAUCAGCCGGGGUUUUGAGGACAGCUCUGCUCUUCUGAAGCAAGAGCUCGCCUACUGCCUGGGCCAGAUGAGGGAUGCACAGGCCAUCCCUGUGCUGGUGGAUGUGCUGAAGGACACGAGCCAGGAGCCCAUGGUGCGUCACGAGGCAGGGGAAGCCCUGGGGGCGAUUGGUAACCCGGAAGUUCUAGGCAUCUUGAAGCAGUAUUCCACAGACCCAGUGGUUGAGGUGGCUGAGACGUGCCAGCUUGCCCUUGGGCGUCUAGAGUGGCUGCAGCAGCACCCGGGGGAGGCCACAUGUGCAGGACCCUACCCCUCAGUGGACCCAGCGCCCCCUGCAGCAGAGCAGGAUGUGGGGCGACUGCGGGAGGCCCUGCUGGAUGAGGCACGGCCACUCUGAGCGGUACCGUGCCAUGUUUGCCCUGCGCAAUGUGGGUGGCAAGGAGGCUGCCUUGGCCCUGGCUGAAGGCCUGCAGUGUGGCAGCGCACUCUUCCGCCAUGAGGUGGGCUAUGUGCUGGGUCAGCUGCAGCACGAGGCAGCCGUGCCCGGGCUGGCAGUCACAUUGGUGCGGACCACUGAGAGUCCCAUGGUGCAGCACGAGUGCGCAGAGGCCCUGGGCACCAUCGCCAGACCUGCCUGCCUGACUGCAUUGCGAGAGCACAUCGUGGACCCUGAGCAGGUGGUGCGGGAGAGCUGCGAGGUGGCCCUGGACAUGUAUGAGUACGAGAGCGGCCAGGACUUCCAGUAUGCAGAUGGGCUGGAGCGCCUGCGGCCGCCACCCUGA